rnacentral:tRNA from 1 species
GGAGAGAUGGCUCAGCCGUUUAGAGCACUGGCUGCUCUUCCAGAGGACCUGGGUUCAAUUCCCAGCACCC